UUGCUUCGGCAGUACAUAUACUAAAAUUGGAAUAAUACAGAGAUUAGCAUGGCCCCUGCGCAAGGAUGACACGUAAAUUCAUGAAGCUUUCCAUAUUUCU
rnacentral:snRNA from 1 species